rnacentral:lncRNA from 1 species
UCUCUAAUUUUUUUUUCUCCUUCUUUAAAAGAAUGCUGUUGUAAGCCCUUUCUUAUUUUGAAGACUUUCUUUGGCAUUAAAUUGCAUAAAUGAAAGAAAUUUUUGUUAUUUAUAAAAAAAAGUCCAUUUUAGUAACUUCCUCCAACUGACAUUGGCUGUUUGUAUUUCUUUGUAUUUCUACUGUGCAUUUUAAAUACUGUGUGAAUAUUUAAAUACCUAUUGACCCUUUAGAUAACUUGA